rnacentral:rRNA from 1 species
CGUAGGGUGCGAGCGUUAAUCGGAAUUACUGGGCGUAAAGCGUGCGCAGGCGGUUUGUUAAGAUAGGCGUGAAAUCCCCGGGCUCAACCUGGGAACUGCGCUUAUGACUGGCAAGCUAGAGUACGGCAGAGGGGGUGGAAUUCCACGUGUAGCAGUGAAAUGCGUAGAUAUGCGGAGGAACACCGAUGGCGAAGGCAAUCCCCUGGACCUGUACUGACGCUCAUGCACGAAAGCGUGGGGAGCAAACAGGAUUAGAUACCCUGGUAGUCCACGCCCUAAACGAUGUCAACUGGUUGUUGGGUCUUUACUGACUCAGUAACGAAGCUAACGCGUGAAGUUGACCGCCUGGGGAGUACGGCCGCAAGGUUG